rnacentral:rRNA from 1 species
GACGAACGCUGGCGGCGUGCUUAACACAUGCAAGUCGAACGGCAAGGCCCUGCUUUCGUGGUGUGCUCGAGUGGCGAACGGGUGAGUAACACGUGAGUAACCUGCCCUUGACUUUGGGAUAACUUCAGGAAACUGGGGCUAAUACCGGAUAGGAGCUCCUGCUGCAUUGUGGGGGUUGGAAAGUUUCGGCUGUUGGGGAUGGACUCGCGGCUUAUCAGCUUGUUGGUGGGGUAGUGGCUUACCAAGGCAUUGACGGGUAGCCGGCCUGAGAGGGUGAGCGGCCACAUUGGGACUGAGAUACGGCACAGACGCCUACGGGAGGCAGCAGUGGGGAAUAUUGCACAAUGGGCGGAAGCCUGAUGCAGCAACGCCGCGUGCGGGAUGACGGCCUUCGGGUUGUAAACCGCUUUCGGCUGUGACGAAGCGUGAGUGACGGUAAUGGGUAAAGAAGCAACGGCUAACUACGUG